UACAGAGGUCUCAAGCGUUGUUCGGAUUCAUUGGGCGUAAAGGGUGCGCAGGCUGUGUGGUAAGUCGGGUGUGAAAUUUAGAGGCUCAACCUCUAAACUGCACCUGAUACUGCCAUGCUAGAGGACUGUAGAGGAGAUUGGAAUUCACGGUGUAGCAGUGAAAUGCGUAGAUAUCGUGAGGAAGACCAGUGGCGAAGGCGAAUCUCUGGGCAGUUCCUGACGCUCAUGCACGAAGGCUAGGGGAGCAAACGGG
rnacentral:rRNA from 1 species